GGCGGCUCGAGUGGUAGCCGUUAUUAUUGGGUAUAAAGGGUCCGUAGCCGGAUAAAUAAGUCUCUUGAGAAAUCCGGCGGCUUAACUGUCGGGCUUUCAGGAGAAACUGUUUUUCUGGGGGCCGGGAGAGGUGAGGGGUACUUCAGGGGUAGGAGUGAAAUCUUGUAAUCCUGGAAGGACCACCUGUGGCGAAGGCAUCUCACCAGAACGGGUCUGACGGCGAGGGACGAAAGCUGGGGGCGCAAACCGGAUUAGAUACCCGGGUAGUCCCAGCUGUAAACUAUACGCGUUAGGUGUGGCACAUGGCACGAGUCUUGUAGGUGCCGAAGGGAAACCGUGAAACGCACCACCUGGGAAGUACGGCCGCAAGGCUGAAACUUAAAGGAAUUGGGGGGGGAGCACCACAACGGGUGGAGCGUGCGGUUUAAUUGGACUCAACGCCGGAAAU
rnacentral:rRNA from 1 species